GCAGUUCCAGCACAUCGGUUUGAUGGGGCGGCUGCACACACCUUCCAGGUUGAACCCUGGGCUGGCGUGAACACAGGUCAGCCCAAGAUUGGGCCAGGAACUGCGGCCUCUGGAAGAGUGGCUUCGGGUGGUCCUACCCGACGGUCACCAGGUGAGUAUAGGAAAAGCCAUUCAAGGUCAAGAUGAGUGGGGGCGGGGGCCGGGUGGAGACGCACAAACUCCAAGCCCCCCGGUUCCUUCUUUCCAAGGGCGUUUUUAGCCUCAGAAACAUCCUAGACUGCGGCAGAGGGAAGGAGAUUUAAGAUCUGACAGUUCCCUGCCUGCGACUGUUUUCCUGUGACCAGCUAGCUACUUUGCCAUGAGAAGAGUGGGCAGCGUUGACCGAUGCUACCCAGGGUCCACACCUCCCCUCCCCUCACCUCCUCUCGGAAAGCGACCCCUUCCCCCACCCGGGUUCUUCCUCCCUCCCUCUCCGCAGACCCACUGACCUUGGGAAGGCGCGGACCCACGGUGGCGGAGCCUCUCCAGGCAACCUUCGAAGCUGGAGUGUAAGGCUCGAGCGCUGCCGGUACCCGCUGGCUGGUCCGUGUCCCCCACCGCGGCCGGGAGUGUGCGGAGCUCCCUUCCCCCACGCCUUAUAAUUUAAUCACAUGAGAUAUUAAAUGAUCAAGCCGCUCAUUAAUCAUCACUGGAGUUAUUGAGACUGAGCACGGCGCCUUGUGUUUUGACAGCCCAGAAUGGUUCACCCAGCGCCGGUGCGUCUAGAUUUGGGGGAUGGGGGCUCUCUAACCACUCUUAAGAGACACGCAAGCCCCACGCGGAUUGAUGGGACCUCUUGCUUAGGAAAAUUUUUUUGGGAAAGCGUAGUCCCAGCUUUAGAGUUCAGCGGAGAGUUUGUUGGAAGCCCAUACACAUCUCCCAUUUUCUUAAAAUCUAGAUUUUAAUUGAGGGAAUUACAUAGACGACAGUCGACUUCAACUGCUAGUAUCCUUUUUCUGCAGUUUUUCUGGAGGGUGGAUUUGACCGAAUCCCUGUGUCUUCUUUACUCACUGUGGAUAGUGUGAAAUACAGAUGGAGCCAGGUCGGUGAAGACAUUUCCAAGGAUGGUUUUCUUAACUCCAGUGCAAUGAGGCUGUCCUGUUUUUCUGCACACCACAAGUACUAAUAAAGAAAAAAAAAAUAAA
rnacentral:lncRNA from 1 species